UGCCAGCAGCCGCGGUAAUACAGAGGGUGCAAACGUUGUUCGGAAUUAUUGGGCGUAAAGAGCGUGUAGGCGGCUUACAAAGUCAGUUGUGAAAGCCCAUGGCUCAACCAUGGAAGUGCAACCGAUACUGGUAAGCUUGAGUUCUGGAGAGGAUGGCGGAAUUCCUAGUGUAGAGGUGAAAUUCGUAGAUAUUAGGAGGAACACCGGUGGCGAAGGCGGCCAUCUGGACAGAUACUGACGCUGAGACGCGAAAGCAUGGGGAGCAAACAGGAUUAGAUA
rnacentral:rRNA from 1 species